CCCUUAGACGUUCUGGGCCGCACGCGCGCUACCCUGACCAGUGCAACAAGCAUCCGUCCUUGGCCGACAGGCCCGGGCAAUCUUUGAACGCUGGUCGUGAUGGGGAUAGACUUUUGCAAUUUUUGGUCUUCAACGAGGAAUUCCUAGUAAACGCAAGUCAUCAACUUGCAUUGAUUACGUCCCUGCCCUUUGUACACACCGCCCGUCGCACCUACCGAUUGAAUGGUCCGGUGAAGCCUCCGGAUUGGCGCGCACCUCGGUGCCGCCGAGAAGUUGGCUAAACCUUACCAUUUAGAGGAAGGUGAAGUCGUAACA
rnacentral:rRNA from 1 species